UACGUAGGGGGCAAGCGUUGUCCGGAAUCAUUGGGCGUAAAGCGCGUGUAGGCGGUCCGGUAAGUCCGCUGUGAAAGUCGGGGGCUCAACCCUCGGAUGCCGGUGGAUACUGUCGGGCUUGAGUACGGAAGAGGCGAGUGGAAUUCCUGGUGUAGCGGUGAAGUGCGCAGAUAUCAGGAGGAACACCGAUGGCGAAGGCAGGUCUCUGGGCCACUACUGACGCUGAGAAGCGAAAGCGUGGGGAGCGAACAGG
rnacentral:rRNA from 1 species